AGGAUGAACGCUGGCGGCGUGCCUAACACAUGCAAGUCGAACGUCCUGUCUCGCAAGAGGCAGGGAGUGGCGGACGGGUGAGUACCACGUGGGUUAUCUACCGUGAGGUGAGGAAUACCGGCGAGAAAUCGCCGACAAGACCGCAUAGCCUCGGUGCAAGCCGAGCAAAGCUCUUUCGAGAGAGGGAGCGCCACACGAGGAGCCUGCGCCCGAUUAGCUAGCUGGUGGAGUAACGGUUCACCAGGGCGACGAUCGGUAGCUGGUCUGAGAGGACGAUCAGCCACACUGGGAUUGAGAACGGCCCAGACUCCUACGGGGGGCAGCAGUGAGGAAUUUUCGUCAAUGGGGCAACCCUGAACGAGCAACGCCGCGUGCAGGAAGAAGGUUUUCGGAUCGUAAACUGCUUUUCGUCGGGGAAGAGGAACGGACGGUACCCGAGGAAUCAGCCCCGGCUAACUACGCGCCAGCAGCCGC
rnacentral:rRNA from 1 species